CAGGAUGAGCUGAUCUAAAAGAAUUACAUUUAUUUAGAUACAGAACAUCUUUACAACCACAUCAAAUGGAAGACUUUUCAGAUGCGCAC